ACCAUUGGUACAGAUGAGAUGGAAUUGUACGUGACGGACGUUCUUAUCCUAUCUGUUCCCCUCCCCACCUUGCUCGCCGCCGCACAAAUCGACACCAUAGCCACCGCAAACCAUGCGCCAUAUCCGGCCACCGCAGUGCAGCUGCGUGCCGUCGCCUUCGUACAACAUCUCCCGCCCGACGACCAUUGCCUCCGCCGCGCGGCAAGAAGCCACACAGUUCCCGCGGCGGCCUCGCGGGGAGGAGCACGACAGGCCCUGGCGGCGGCCUCGUGUGCGGGGCAGGGCACCACGCCAGGGAGAGCGGUCUCGCCCUCCACGGGAUCCCGAUGCGGGGUGGAGUCGCGGUGGAGGUGCUGCUCGUGGGGGGAACGAUGGCCUGCCUCGCGCGAUUGCGGUGGUGAGGAUGUGGGAUGGCUGCGGCGGGCGGCUAUGGAAGCUGCCGAGUCGCGGCACCAGAGGCGGAGGGAGCGGCUAGUGAUGGGGGCGAGGGCUGGGUGCUCUCCUCGUCUCACGCGGUCGCCGAGGGAAGCCGGCGGCUACUUCUGUUUCCGUUGGCAGCCGCUCCCGCUUCUCAUCUGAGUGGAUCCUGCUCCCGCUCGCCCCUGGUCAACCUCCUGCAUCGGUGCGCCCCUGUCGCCUCCGUCGACUCCACCCGUGGGUUGAGGAGAUGGCCGAAUCGGCCGCCGUGGCGUGCAAGCGCGGCCUGCUACUGCACAACCACCAGCGCCAGUGGAGGAGCUGCGGCGGGGAGGUGUUCAUCUACUCCUUUUUGUCACUGGAAUAAGGCAAUGACGUUUUUGGGCUUCCCCCAUUUUUGGGCUGGUCCGCCGGAGGGGAAGAGCCAGAUCGUUGUCCCUGCUAGCGACAAGUUUAUCUGACGUGGGAUGGUUCGGGCUAGAGGGGUACUUCUAUCGAACGAGUUCGUUCGUUCCAGCGACUCUCCCAGCACGAACGACUCGUUCGGGCUGGGGUGUCCCCAGGCCGAUCGUUUGGCAGUUAUCGAUGUCCAAGAUCAUGGCUAUGGAGAUUAGGAUCACCAGAGACGAGGAAUUGGAGUUCUUAUCGGAUCUAGUUGACAGAUUUCCCCUGCCGGAUCUGGCCGGCGGCGAGCUGCCGGUAGAGCACGGCAGAAGCUAGGCUAUAAUAUGUGGACCUGUGGACUCAAGCAUUGGCGAAGCAGGAGAUGCCAUGGCAGUAGUGGAAACAGAUUUGAACAACACUUGUCAGGGGGUUGCCCUGUCGGCGCCGGCGUCCGAGCAAUCUACAGGGAAGGACGACCCUGAAGCCCCUGGCUGGACGCGAAGAAUCCGUGUUGGGCGUGUGCCUGAUGAAUGGCCCCCAUGUGCUGCCAGGAUGAGUGCAUUGGAGCUAACAAUACGAAGCUAUGCAGAGAAAAAAAACUGAAACUGUGAUAGUUCCUGCUAUGGGAGCCAGUUUCGAUACGCUGGGGAAGCUUACGACUACUACAAUCUAUAUUCAUGGGAGGUUGGGUUCGGAGUGAGAUACGGCAAGAGCCAUCUAAAUGUUGAGAGAACAAAAUGCAUGCAGGAGAUAGUUUGCACACACAAAAUGCAUGCAGGAUACGGUAAAAGAAAUUGUUCCAGCAAUUGCACCCGCAAGCGGGAACGUUAGUGAUGCAGAAGGCAGUGCUAUCGGGGAUUUCAUAGGACUGAAACCACCUGAGCGGAAAAGGAAAGCCGCGCGACCAACAAAUAGCAGAGAUAAGCCUCCGUAUGAUGACCGGGGUGCAAAAAGCAAAAGGAUGAAGCAACGCACAGCUGCUGAAGAUGUCGAUAGGUGUGGCACGAGCAAACGCACUCGCUUCUGCAGCAUAUGCCGAGAACCUGGUCACAAGAGCACAACUUGUCCGCGACGAGGUCUUCCACCGAAGGAAAGGAACGAGGCUAAAUGCUCUAUAUGUGGUGUCGGUGGCCACAGGAAAAACACCUGCAACAAGCCAAAGGUUGUUCUAUAUGUUGCUGGGACAACUAACGUGGACGCGAAUGCACUCACCAGUCUGAUUUGAGAUCGUCUGUUCAAUCUGUGUAAUAAACCUGUUCUUGGGGGCUCCGCAGCCGAUAAUUGAUAAAUCUGUGUAAUAACAUGUUGCGUCGAUCUUUGUGUGCCAUCUCUUGUGUUUGCACCUCAUUAUGUAAUGACCUGUUGAAUUUGAGAUGUGUUUUCAGUUUCA